rnacentral:rRNA from 1 species
GACGAACGCUGGCGGCGUGCUUAACACAUGCAAGUCGAACGGAAAGGCCCUGCUUUUGUGGGGUGCUCGAGUGGCGAACGGGUGAGUAACACGUGAGUAACCUGCCCUGACUUUGGGAUAACUUCAGGAAACUGGGGUAAUACCGGAUAGGAGCUCCUGCUGCAUGGUGGGGGUUGGAAAGUUUCGGCGGUUGGGGAUGGACUCGCGGCUUAUCAGCUUGUUGGUGGGGUAGUGGCUUACCAAGGCUUUGACGGGUAGCCGGCCUGAGAGGGUGACCGGCCACAUUGGGACUGAGAUACGGCCCAGACUCCUACGGGAGGCAGCUUGGGGAAUAUUGCACAAUGGGCGGAAGCCUGAUGCAGCAACGCCGCGUGCGGGAUGACGGCCUUCGGGUUGUAAACCGCUUUCGCCUG